rnacentral:rRNA from 1 species
AACGCGAAGAACCUUACCAGCCCUUGACAUCCCGGUCGCGGGAACCAGAGAUGGAUCCCUUCAGUUCGGCUGGACCGGAGACAGGUGCUGCAUGGCUGUCGUCAGCUCGUGUCGUGAGAUGUUGGGUUAAGUCCCGCAACGAGCGCAACCCUCGCCCUUAGUUGCCAUCAUUUAGUUGGGCACUCUAAGGGGACUGCCGGUGAUAAGCCGCGAGGAAGGUGGGGAUGACGUCAAGUCCUCAUGGCCCUUACGGGCUGGGCUACACACGUGCUACAAUGGCGGUGACAGUGGGACGCAAUGGAGCAAUCCUGCGCAAAUCUCAAAAAGCCGUCUCAGUUCGGAUUGUGCUCUGCAACUCGAGCACAUGAAGUUGGAAUCGCUAGUAAUCGCAGAUCAGCACGCUGCGGUGAAUACGUUCCCGGGCCUUGUA